GUCACCUGCAGACAUUAGAUGUACCCAGGCUUAUUCCUGGGCUCUCUCUGCCUUCACAGUCCCCUCUUCCCAGCUCUCAUCAUUCAGAGCAAGGCGUCAGAAAUUCGCUGCAUGCUUAAAUCCCCAGACUACUGCAGCAUGAUGGCAUCCCUGCUACAAACCUGUGUGUCCAGCUGCCUCCCUGACACCUCCGCUUCAGUGCAGAUGGGCCCUUCCAGAACAGAUAUCCAUCCUCCCUUUCUGAGAAGAAUAACCUGCUAUCUUGGUGUCAACCUGAAGUUAAUCUCGAGGAUAUCGCCAAAGACUGCCAGUGUGGAGUGUUGAGUUGCCAACGUGUGUCAGAACAGGUGGCAGCUUCCUCCUCAGACAGCACCCUCAGAAAAUUCUUCUCACAGUCCUGCUGCUGACCUGGAAAUGGUAAUAGCAGUGAUAAUCAUGAUAUCAACACUCGAGAGCUUAAUAUGUACUAAGCGCCGUUUUUCUAGACUACACGGUCUCUAAUGUUCACUGUAGAACUGAGAUCAGUACAACUACAACUGCUUUUUACAAUAGUAAUAAUAAUAAAAACCCAAGGCACAGAAAGUGCUUCCUCCUCACAGAGUCCAUUCUUAUCACCAUCAUAAAUAUCUCAUCAU